GAUGAACGCUGGCGGCGUGCCUAAUACAUGCAAGUCGAGCGAACAGAUGAGGAGCUUGCUCCUCUGACGUUAGCGGCGGACGGGUGAGUAACACGUGGAUAACCUACCUAUAAGACUGGGAUAACUUCGGGAAACCGGAGCUAAUACCGGAUAAUAUAUUGAACCGCAUGGUUCAAUAGUGGAAGACGGUUUUGCUGUCACUUAUAGAUGGAUCCGCGCCGCAUUAGCUAGUUGGUAAGGUAACGGCUUACCAAGGCGACGAUGCGUAGCCGACCUGAGAGGGUGAUCGGCCACACUGGAACUGAGACACGGUCCAGACUCCUACGGGAGGCAGCAGUAGGGAAUCUUCCGCAAAGGGCGAAAGCCUGACGGAGCAACGCCGCGUGAGUGAUGAAGGUCUUCGGAUCGUAAAACUCUGUUAUUAGGGAAGAACAAAUGUGUAAGUAACUAUGCACGUCUUGACGGUACCUAAUCAGAAAGCCACGGCUAACUACGUG
rnacentral:rRNA from 1 species